GCCCCGUGGUGUAGUGGUUACACAUCAGGGAAGGCUUUCUUUGAUGAAGGUCGCUGGUUCGAAUCCGGCCGGGGGCA
rnacentral:tRNA from 2 species